GGACGAACGCUGGCGGCGUGCUUAACACAUGCAAGUCGAACGGAAAGGCCCUGCUUGCAGGGUGCUCGAGUGGCGAACGGGUGAGUAACACGUGGGUGAUCUGCCCCUUAUUUUGGGAUAAGCCUGGGAAACUGGGUCUAAUACUGGAUAGGACCAUGCUGUAGGUGGUGUGGUGGAAAGAUUAGUUUCGGUAAGGGAUGAGCUCGCGGCCUAUCAGCUUGUUGGUGGGGUAAUGGCCUACCAAGGCGUCGACGGGUAGCCGGCCUGAGAGGGUGGACGGCCACAUUGGGACUGAGAUACGGCCCAGACUCCUACGGGAGGCAGCAGUGGGGAAUAUUGCACAAUGGGCGCAAGCCUGAUGCAGCGACGCCGCGUGGGGGAUGACGGCCUUCGGGUUGUAAACUCCUUUCAGCCAUGACGAAGCCCUUGUGGUGACGGUAGUGGUAGAAGAAGCACCGGCUAACUACGUG
rnacentral:rRNA from 1 species